GAAAUGCGAUAAGUAAUGUGAAUUGCAGAAUUCAGUGAAUCAUCGAAUCUUUGAACACACCUUGCGCUCCUUGGUAUUCCUUGGAGCAUGCCUGUUUGAGUAUCAUGAAAUCUUCAAAGUAAAUCUUUUGUUAACUCAAUUGGUUUCUACUUUGGUAUUGGAGGUCUUUGCAGCUUCACACCUGCUCCUCUUUGUUCAUUAGCUGGAUCUCAGUGUUAUGCUUGGUUCCACUCGGCGUGAUAAGUUAUCUAUCGCUGAGGACACUGUAAAAGGUGGCCAAGGUAAAUGCAGAUGAACCUCUUCUAAUAGUCCAUUGACUUGGACAAUACUUUUAUGAUCUGAUCUCAAAUCAGGUAGGACUACCCGCUGAACUUAAGC
rnacentral:misc_RNA from 1 species